rnacentral:rRNA from 1 species
CCUACGGGACGCAGCAGUGGGGAAUUUUCCGCAAUGGGCGCAAGCCUGAUGCAGCCAUGCCGCGUGUAUGAAGAAGGCCUUCGGGUUGUAAAGUACUUUCAGCGGGGAUGAAGGGAGUAAAGUUAAUACCUUUGCUCAUUGACGUUACCCGCAGAAGAAGCACCGGCUAACUCCGUGCCAGCAGCCGCGGUAAUACGGAGGGUGCAAGCGUUAAUCGGAAUUACUGGGCGUAAAGCGCACGCAGGCGGUUUGUUAAGUCAGAUGUGAAAUCCCCGGGCUCAACCUGGGAACUGCAUCUGAUACUGGCAAGCUUGAGUCUCGUAGAGGGGGGUAGAAUUCCAGGUGUAGCGGUGAAAUGCGUAGAGAUCUGGAGGAAUACCGGUGGCGAAGGCGGCCCCCUGGACGAAGACUGACGCUCAGGUGCGAAAGCGUGGGGAGCAAACAGGAUUAGAUACCCCCGUAGUC